rnacentral:tRNA from 1 species
UCCCUGGUGGCUCAGAGGGUAAAGUGUCUGCCUACAAUGCAGGAGACCCAGGUUUGAUCCCUGGGUCGGGAA